GGCUCACACCAGUAAUCCCAGCACUUUGGGAGGCUGAGCUGGGCGGAUCAUGAAAUCAAGAGAUUGAGACCAUCCUGGCCAAUAUGGUGAAACCCUGUCUCUAGUAAAAAUA